rnacentral:sRNA from 1 species
GUAUUAUCAGUCGUAUGAUUAUUUGUCUGUAGUGGU